ensembl:lncRNA
GUGUGUGUGUGUGUGUGUGUGUGUGUGUCUCUGGUUCUUCUGCCUUUGUGAGGACGUCCUGGGCCUCUCGGCUCUGUGAGGUUCUACUAGAGGUCAAACAGCAGCAGGACGCUGAGGUCGGAGUGCGACAGGAAGCCGUCACGUCCAGGUGAAGACAGGCGUCCACGCUCACCCGAAGGAGGACAAUGUGACAAUGAGAGAGAACAAAUGGGACCUUCUGAUACGAUCAAAGUCUUCUCUCCAGGACUCAGUGUUGGAUGACGCGAGCGCUGAAUGGACCGAACAGAACCCGGGGAGACAACACAGGUGAAUUAAAGCUGAUUCACGUGUCAUGUGCUGCUGGUGUCGAAGCUCAGGACCAAAGAUCAAGUUCUGAUCUGUGCCUGGAGACGUAGAGAUGGAGGAGCUCACAAGCACAGCUGAACAAUUAAUGACGAGUUAUUCUGCUAAAACAGUAAAUGUUCAUAAUAAUCGUGCACAGGUUGGAAUAUCUUUGACAAUAGCUUUACUUCGACAGACAAUUUUCAUUUGGUUUUAGUCUUUUUUAGGGAUGUUUUUCUUCCAUGUCUUAUUUCAGAGCGGUGAGUAGAAGAAAAAUAUCCCAAAUACAUAUUACAUUGUUUGUCUACUUUAGAUUUCUGCUAAAUUCAAAGAGUUACCAUUACUUAACAACGAAUUUGCAUACUCAAAAUUACAUUUGAGGAAACUCAUAACGCUCCAAAUGUGGUGAUGAGCUGCUGAGGUUGAUGUUUACUCGUUGAUUCUUUGAUGUUCUUCCGUUCUUGUCGUCAUGGACUAAACUUCUCUCCUUAAAAUGAGUUUGUUCUCACGCUCUGAUCCAGAAUCCUCCUUCAGGAGCUCUUACAUCAGCGACUUUACAGCUUAACUCCUCUGCUCUGGAGGUUUGUUCACACUUCAUUCACACACUCUUAUACUACAUUUGUUAUUAAAACAUGGAGGAAAUUUAUGGAUUGUACCCUCUUAAAUUAAGUAAAAAAACUUUGGGCAGUUUACAAGAUGAUCUAUUUGAAAACGGGAGUAAAAACUAUAAAAUAUUGAAAUAUAGAAAUAUGCUUUUUGAGCUGAUAUUUUUGUCUUUGCCUGUUGAAUGAAGCCAAACCAAGUGAACAUGUGGAUUCAAUUUGGAGACACAACCUGUUAAAUAAAGUUGUGGAUAUUUAAUAUGGCUUCAUUACCGUCAUCAAUCUUUGGCUCCCAACUGUUGAUUAAUCAGGACACGUUAUGUAACGGCGGCACAGCGGCAUGAGGACCCCCCCCCCCCCCCCCACCCCACGCAUACA